GCUACGGGUGGCAGCAGUGAGGAAUAUUGGUCAAUGGGCGGAGGACUGAACCAGCCAAGCCGCGUGAGGGAAGACGGCACUAUGGGUUGUAAACCUCUUUUAUAAGGGAAGAAAAAUGACUACGUGUAGUCAGAUGCGCGUACCUUAUGAAUAAGCAUCGGCUAACUCCGUGCCAGCAGCCGCGGUAAUACGGAGGAUGCGAGCGUUAUCCGGAUUUAUUGGGUUUAAAGGGUGCGUAGGCGGUAUUUUAAGUUAGUGGUAAAAAGUCGGGGCUUCACCUUGAUUGGCCAUUGAAACUGGAGUACUAGAGUACAGACGAGGUAUGCGGAAUGAG
rnacentral:rRNA from 1 species